rnacentral:rRNA from 1 species
AGUGAACGCUGGCGGUAGGCCUAACACAUGCAAGUCGAACGGCAGCACAGUAAGAGCUUGCUCUUACGGGUGGCGAGUGGCGGACGGGUGAGGAAUACAUCGGAAUCUACUUUUUCGUGGGGGAUAACGUAGGGAAACUUACGCUAAUACCGCAUACGACCUACGGGUGAAAGCAGGGGAUCUUCGGACCUUGCGCGAUUGAAUGAGCCGAUGUCGGAUUAGCUAGUUGGCGGGGUAAAGGCCCACCAAGGCGAUGAUCCGUAGCUGGUCUGAGAGGAUGAUCAGCCACACUGGAACUGAGACACGGUCCAGACUCCUACGGGAGGCAGCGGUGGGGAAUAUUGGACAAUGGGCGCAAGCCUGAUCCAGCCAUGCCGCGUGGGUGAAGAAGGCCUUCGGGUUGUAAAGCCCUUUUGUUGGGAAAGACAAGCAGCAGGUUAAUACCCCGCUGUUCUGACGGUACCCAAAGAAUAAGCACCGGCUAACUUCGUG